rnacentral:misc_RNA from 1 species
GUAAACUCGUACAAACAUAGAAACCGCAGAAUAAUCAAGUCGUUGCCUUUCGAAUAUCUUUCAUACCUUAAUGAUUGAAAAGGUUCUCUUUGAUGCCUUGAAACCAAUUUUAAUAUUAUCAAGCAGCUUGGUAGAUAAAGUGAGCUGCUUUUCUUGCAUCUAAACAUGAAAGAGUUGACACAAAGCUUGGAAAUAAUAUGGGACCUUUAAAUGU